GAUGAACGCUGGCGGCGUGCCUAACACAUGCAAGUCGAGCGAUUCUCUUCGGAGAAGAGCGGCGGACGGGUGAGUAACGCGUGGGUAACCUGCCCUGUACACACGGAUAACAUACCGAAAGGUAUGCUAAUACGAGAUAAUAUACUUUUAUCGCAUGGUAGAAGUAUCAAAGCUCCGGCUGUACAGGAUGGACCCGCGUCUGAUUAGCUAGUUGGUAAGGUAACGGCUUACCAAGGCGACGAUCAGUAGCCGACCUGAGAGGGUGAUCGGCCACAUUGGAACUGAGACACGGUCCAAACUCCUACGGGAGGCAGCAGUGGGGAAUAUUGCACAAUGGGCGAAAGCCUGAUGCAGCAACGCCGUGUGAGCGAUGAAGGCCUUCGGGUCGUAAAGCUCUGUCCUCAAGGAAGAUAAUGACGGUACUUGAGGAGGAAGCCCCGGCUAACUACGUGCCAGCCGCCGCCGUAA
rnacentral:rRNA from 1 species